UACGGGGGGAGCAAGCGUUGUUCGGAUUUACUGGGCGUAAAGGGCGCGUAGGCGGCCACCGCAAGUCGACUGUGAAAUCUCCGGGCUUAACCCGGAAAGGUCAGCCGAUACUGCGGGGCUAGAGUGCAGAAGGGGCAACUGGAAUUCUCGGUGUAGCGGUGAAAUGCGUAGAUAUCGAGAGGAACACCUGCGGCGAAGGCGGGUUGCUGGGCUGACACUGACUCUGAGGCGCGAAAGCUAGGGGAGCGAACGGG
rnacentral:rRNA from 1 species